CCCCCAGCAGCCACGCUACGAGGCCAGCAAGCCCCAGGCCCAGCCUCUGCCUUUCCCCCAGCAGCCACGCUACGAGGCCAGCAAGCUCCAUGCCCAGCCUUGGCCUUUCCCCCAGCAGCCACACUACGAGGCCAGCAAGCCCCAGGCCCAGCCUCAGCCUUUCCCCCAGCAGCCACGCUACGAAGUCAGCAAGCUCCAGGGCAGUGAAGCCAACUCUCCAAGUGGAGGUGUGCUGCAAACCAAAUCUGGCAUGUGGGACUUGGCUGACCCAAGAAGUUUCAGACCCAUUCCAGUUUCAUUAAGAAAUCUCUACAGGUGGCCACAGCAACAGGCACCCAUCUACAACAGAUGUUAGCAAUAGGUUCUGGCCUCACCUGCAGCUCGUUCUGGCAUGGCAUCAGAUUUUCUUAAAUUAAUAAAGUGCACAGAGCUGCAGUCCCUGGCUAUUGUUAAAACUUCCUGUUUGUUCAGUUUUAUGCAUGCUCUCAUGAUAAACUGAGCUGCUCAGUAGAUCUAGGUUUGUACUGUUGCUACCAUAAUGUUGCAAUAUACAAACUGAUGCACAAAAGGCACUUUUAUUUCCCCCCUGAAAUAGUUAAACAUAAAAUUCCUCUCAGGCCUUAAGCCCCAAAGACUGUAAUUAUCUUACAGUUGUGUAGCUUAGCAAAGCAAACCUGCUUAGCUUUAAUGUUUCCCCAAGUGUUCAGGGUUCACAACCACAAUUUUCACUUCAAGAACAAGGGGUGGAAACAUGGCAGUUUAAUGCCUUCUAUCAAUGGCAAAAAUUACAGUCCAGUCAGGACUACAACCAACCAGAUGCUAAACGGAAAAUGGUGGUAGUCUGCCAAGCAGGUGGUCACUAUUAGGGAUUAGCAUAAACUAAGGCAAUUCAAAGCACAAGCAGCGAUUAUAGCUUUGAAAGGUGUGGGUGUCUUGUUUUUGGGGCCCAGUUGUGAACUUUGAUCAUGCCUUCACUGUCAGUAUCAGGUGUUGUCUUUUUGUGCCUUAAAAGUAAACUGUAUUAACAGACUCGGAUUAAAGUGUUUUUAUUCUGUAGAGAAUAUUCACUAUUGCUUUGUCUUUGGACAAAAAGUCUUGAGUAUUAAUAUACAUAUCUCAUGGAUGUAUCAUCAAAUGC